rnacentral:rRNA from 1 species
AGUGAACGCUGGCGGUAGGCCUAACACAUGCAAGUCGAACGGCAGCACAGUAAGAGCUUGCUCUUACGGGUGGCGAGUGGCGGACGGGUGAGGAAUACAUCGGAAUCUACUUUUUCGUGGGGGAUAACGUAGGGAAACUUACGCUAAUACCGCAUACGACCUACGGGUGAAAGCAGGGGAUCCUCGGACCCUGCGCGAUUGAAUGAGCCGAUGUCGGAUUAGCUAGUUGGCGGGGUAAAGGCCCACCAAGGCGACGAUCCGUAGCUGGUCUGAGAGGAUGAUCAGCCACACUGGAACUGAGACACGGUCCAGACUCCUACGGGAGGCAGCAGUGGGGAAUAUUGGACAAUGGGCGCAAGCCUGAUCCAGCCAUACCGCGUGGGUGAAGAAGGCCUUCGGGUUGUAAAGCCCUUUUGUUGGGAAAGAAAAGCAGCAGGUUAAUACCCCGCUGUUCUGACGGUACCCAAAGAAUAAGCACCGGCUAACUUCGUG